ACUAAGGGACUCUGGGAGAAGCCUUGGA
rnacentral:piRNA from 1 species